CAAAGGUUGGGCUGCAGAGAACAGAUGACUUCCCUAAGAUUGAUGGUCAGUGCGUGGUGACCUGGGACUAGAAGACACAUCACCGUACCCACAGGUGACAGGGAGAAGUAUUUAUCAAGAACACCCAUUCUCUUAGCCCUCAGAAAAUAUCACAAAUGCACCACCACUGAAAGGUGACAGCUUUUAUAGAUUCAUAGUGACUUACAACCUUCUACUUGGCUGCAGGAAGGCAAAAAUAAUCAAUUUUCAUAUAUCAUGGAGCAGAGGAGAAGGGAAAAUGAGAAGCAACCUGAGAAAUGCCUCUGCUAAAAUAUGUGAAGACCCCAGCUAAUACCCCAUCAAUUCCAUGGUCAAAAAGUACAAAGGUUCUAGAGAAAUAGGCUUGAACAAAGCAACCCAAUCAAGGUGAGAGGACACAGAGAAACAAGGUCUUCAGGCUAGCUUAGCUAUUGAAAUGAUCUAAUUAAAUAAAUCAUCGUCUGCUGCCAAGUGCCCAAUCUGAACACCCAGACUCUAGGUCUUGGUAGGGGAGGGGGUUGUGGGAUGAUCCUCAGACCAGAAUUCUGUAAACUUUCCCAGACUCAGCCAGCGGCAUCACUCUCCUG
rnacentral:lncRNA from 1 species